rnacentral:misc_RNA from 1 species
UGAAAUUGACAUUCUUUUAUACAUAAAGCACAGGGAAUAAUUCACUAUAUUGGAGCUCCACCUCCGCCCCGACUGUGGCUUGAACUCACGGCCCCUAGAACCAAUUCUCCUAGAAAUAAGCGGCCCUCUGCCAUCCAUGCAAGACUCAAUCAACAUACGCGGGUAAUAAAUAUUGGCUCUAAUUUGAGAUCACAAAAAAUACCAGAAGGCCUUUCCAAGACGUGAUUAUCCAGGAUGACGGGACACAAUGGUGUACAUGCAGAUUUUUUGGUAUUUGUUUUACCGAAAAUAUUGUAUAAUAUACAUACAAACAAAAUAAUAAUACAGGGUGUCUCAUAAUAUCUGAUACCAUUUACCACUGUUUACUCGUUAAAUAAAUUUUUUCUUUAAAUUAUAAAAUAUUUCCUGAUCAUAUUUGAAAUUUUAUUUUCUGAUAAUAUACCGUAAUGUCUAAAAGCGAUUUUAAAUCAUAUUGUUUGCAUUUGUUGUGAACCUAAUACAAGUAUACAAUGUACAAGUGUUUUAUAACAGACUGAAAUUAAAAAAAAAAAACCCGUGAUC